AGCAGCCGCGGUAAUUCCAGCUCCAAUAGCGUAUAUUAAAGUUGCUGCAGUUAAAAAGCUCGUAGUUGAAUUUCGGGACCGAUAUAUCGGUCGUGCCUCGGUACGUACUGGUAUUUUCGGUUUCUCCCUUCUGACGAACCUUGAUGUCAUUAAUUUGGUGUCUUGGGGAAUCAGGACUGUUACUUUGAAAAAAUUAGAGUGUUUAAAGCAGGCUCGCGCUUGAAUACAUUAGCAUGGAAUAAUGAAAUAGGACGUUUGAUUCUAUUUUGUUGGUUUCUAGGAUCGACGUAAUGAUUAAUAGGGAUAGUUGGGGGCAUUAGUAUUCAAUUGUCAGAGGUGAAAUUCUUGGAUUUAUUGAAGACUAACUACUGCGAAAGCAUUUGCCAAGGAUGUUUUCAUUAAUCAAGAACGAAAGUUAGGGGAUCGAAGACGAUCAGAUAACCGUCGUAGUCUUAACCAUAAACUAUUGCCGACUAGGGAUCGGAUGAUGUUAAUUUUUUAAUGACUCAUUCGGCGCCUU
rnacentral:rRNA from 1 species